rnacentral:rRNA from 1 species
UACGUAGGGUGCAAGCGUUGUCCGGAAUUAUUGGGCGUAAAGGGCUCGUAGGCGGUCCAUCGCGUCGGGAGUGAAAAGCUGGGGCUUAACCCCAGUCCUGCUUCCGAUACGGGUGGACUAGAGGUAGGUAGGGGAGAUCGGAAUUCCUGGUGUAGCGGUGAAAUUCGUAGAUAUCGGGAGGAACACCAGUGGCGAAGGCGGCGACCUGGGCCAAUACUGACGCUGAGGUGCGAAAGCGUGGGGAGCAAACAGG